UUGAACGCUGGCGGCAGGCUUAACACAUGCAAGUCGAGCGGAUGAAAGUAGCUUGCUACCGGAUUCAGCGGCGGACGGGUGAGUAAUGCUUAGGAAUCUGCCUAUUAGUGGGGGACAACGUUCCGAAAGGAGCGCUAAUACCGCAUACGUCCUACGGGAGAAAGCAGGGGACCUUCGGGCCUUGCGCUAAUAGAUGAGCCUAAGUCGGAUUAGCUAGUUGGUAGGGUAAAGGCCUACCAAGGCGACGAUCUGUAGCGGGUCUGAGAGGAUGAUCCGCCACACUGGGACUGAGACACGGCCCAGACUCCUACGGGAGGCAGCAGUGGGGAAUAUUGGACAAUGGGGGGAACCCUGAUCCAGCCAUGCCGCGUGUGUGAAGAAGGCCUUUUGGUUGUAAAGCACUUUAAGCGAGGAGGAGGCUACCUAGAUUAAUACUUUAGGAUAGUGGACGUUACUCGCAGAAUAAGCACCGGCUAACUCUGUGCCAGCAGCCGCGGUAAUACAGAGGGUGCGAGCGUUAAUCGGAUUUACUGGGCGUAAAGCGUGCGUAGGCGGCCAAUUAAGUCAAAUGUGAAAUCCCCGAGCUUAACUUGGGAAUUGCAUUCGAUACUGGUUGGCUAGAGUAUGGGAGAGGAUGGUAGAAUUCCAGGUGUAGCGGUGAAAUGCGUAGAGAUCUGGAGGAAUACCGAUGGCGAAAGCAGCCAUCUGGCCUAAUACUGACGCUGAGUACGAAAGCAUGGGGAGCAAACAGAUUAGAUAC
rnacentral:rRNA from 1 species